CCGCAGCCGCAGAUGUAUUUCAGUUCUUUGAAAGUGUGGUCAUCUGUUCUCAAAAUAUCUUUCAAGCACAUUAGCCUGCUGAAAUGCAAAACAUCGUGUAGGAAUUACUGUGAAAGUCUUCUUGUUAUUUGGUGAAUGUUUUUUUUCUAAAAUACUUUUUUUAUUCGUAAAGUGACUGUGUGUUUACGAACGAAAGUUAUCAUAACUUAUCGUUGUUAAGUUUUCUUCAAAGUUUGUUAAGUUGUGUUAAAGUGCCAAGGAGUAAAAGAAAGACCUUGACAAUUGAUAGUUUAUUUCUGAAAUGAAGUUUUUCUCUAAACACCUAGUGUCGAUGCUGUGAUUUUUAGUUUGCAAUGGCUGCAUCCAUUAUGGAGUUGCCAGACAACUCAUCGGGUAUCAAUAUUAGUGAUGUCAUUGAAGUUAUAGAGACUGAUUGCAACAGCAUGGAUUCGACCAGACGAGAGGGUCCUUACAUCAAGAUUGUUGAACAACCUGCGUCCAAAGCACUUAGAUUUCGUUACGAGUGUGAAGGAAGAUCGGCUGGAAGUAUUCCAGGUGUAAAUAGCUCUACAGAGAACAAGACUUAUCCUACAAUACAGAUUAAAAAUUACAAAGGGAAAGUAGUGGUUGUGGUUUCGUGUGUGACCAAAGAUGCACCCUAUAAACCCCACCCCCACAACCUUGUUGGCCGAGAAGGUUGCAAAAGGGGAGUCUGUACUCUUGAGAUUCACAAUGACACAAUGACCCAAAGUUUCGACCAUCUUGGAAUUCAAUGUGUGAAAAAGAAAGAUAUUGAAGACGCCCUCAGGAUAAGAGAAGAGAUAAGAGUUGACCCUUUUAAAACUGGUUUCUCACACAGGACACAGGCGGGCUCGAUAGACUUGAAUGCUGUCAGAUUAUGUUUUCAGGCCUUCUUAGAGGACAGACCAAAUUCUGGAACAUUUACAAUUCCAUUGGUGCCUGUUGUUUCAGAAAUCAUCUAUGACAAAAAAGCACUUUGUGAUCUAGCCAUCUGCAGGCUGAGCCAUAGCUCUGCCACAGUGGCGGGGGGUCUGGAGAUGAUAUUGCUCUGCGAAAAAGUUCUCAAAGAGGACAUUGCAGUGAGGUUGUACGAGGAGAAGAACGGAGAAAUAGUGUGGGCGGCCAACUGUGAGUUCACCCCGGCCCAGGUACAUAAACAGGUGGCCAUCACGUUCAAGACCCCACGCUACCACACUAUGCAGGUGGACAAGCCAGUUCAGGUGUUUAUCCAACUACAGCGACCUUCCGACCAUGAGACCAGCGAACCCUUGCCCUUCCAACUGACUCCACUAGACUCAGGUAGGCCUGCGUUCUGGUCCCUCCGUCGCUACCGCGCCGACUAUCGCACCUUCUCUCACAUCCUGUCUGCUGAUACUAAGCUGCUGACAAAGGUUGACAAUGUUGACAACCUCAUCCCUGACACUGAAGAGGCACAAGACACCAACAACAACAGUCAUCCGACCAAACCUCAGCCUUCAUUAACAAUUGUUGACCAAUCGUCUCCCAAACCGAUGGAGGUUCAACCCCAACCUCCAUAUACGGAGGUAGACACUGUUGUCGAUAGUUGUCCGAUCGAGCUAAACAACGAGGUUAAAAGAUUUGAGGAUGUCGCAAGCUUAGUGGACAAUGUUGAGCAGAGUUUUGACGACCUGAUCAACGAAGUUGACGACUUUGACGAAAUAAUGAGUUCAGAAUUGAACCAAGAAAUUCCAACCGUAAAUGAUGGAAUUUACAGCAGUUUCCAAAUGGCAAUGAAGAAUCCAUUUGAGUUUGUCGACAUGAAUACAUCAGGAUACGAGGAUGUACUUCCUCCUCCCCCCAGGCCUUUAGAGCCGAAACCUCUCAUUAGGGAUCAGAUAUUCACGGAAAUGCAAAACGACGAUAUUCUCCCUCCUCUUCCCCCGAAGAGAAUCAGGAAAUCUCCUCCGAACAAAAACCUACCUCCUGUUCCAGAAGGGAAAAAGUUGAAUAUAUUUCAAAAACUAUUCUCUUCCAAAAGGAAAGAUAAAUCACGGAAAAAUAGUGUUAGCUCGAUGGGCAGCAGAAGGUCGUUGGUGGAUGACAAGUCUGUUGUUGAGCCUGAUGAAGUUACGUUGACUGAAGCUGAACAUUACGCUUUGUACACAGCAUUAGCUCCUCAUGCUACUGCCUCUGAGUUUGACGAAGCCUCGUUCUACUACAGCCCUGUCGAAGGCUUGUCCCAAACUGUCAAAUGAAGCCUUUAGGGCUACAAAUGUUUUGUACGGAUAGCAAUAUAAUCAGGAAUAUGAAAUAUUUUCCUAAAUGCUAUACAUUUAUAUCAAAAGCUUAGCUGAUAAGUUUUUGUAUUUAAUAUUUUAAGAAACGAUUAUUUUCGUAGUCUAGUCAAAGAUGCUGAACUAUUUACUCUUUUAUAUCGAUGUGACUAAUCUAUAAAUUAUGUUGGAAUUGUACACUUGUUGGAUAUGCCAGUGAAGGAUAUUUGGCACUAAAGAUAAAUAUUAGAAAUGCAGAAUGCAUUGCUAUGACUGUUGUUAAGUUUGCGUAGAGUUUAUGCGAGUUUGAGAGAAAGUCCUGCUGUGAUAACCUCUUUCAGUGAGUACAGAUUGUGGUUUGACAUUGUGUUGUAGAAAGCUAACAAUAACUAAUGACUUUUGAGUUUUUACCUUAUCAAUAAGCUAUUAAAAAGCUUCUUAUGUGUAUGUGGUACUAUUUUAACUAACAUUUUGGAAAUAACCUUUUUUUAUGCUAUGUGAUUUAUUUAAAGCAUGUAUGCAUUCUUUUUUUGGACACCAGACACAAUCUCAUUCUCAAAACAUGCAAUAAAUGGCCUGCUUUUAUUUGUGUUCGGAGUUUAAAGAUAUAAAAACUACUUUGAUCAUUACCACCCACCAUUAUAUCCCUAUUGCUGACCAAACAUUUGGUUGAAUCAAUAAAGAAAUCUACACAAACACCCGAUUAAAAAGAUUUAUAGUUUUACUCUAUUCGGCAGCAACGUUUUACUCAACACUUUGUACUAUACACACUUGUCCCCCUGCACCUAACAGCUAAAUACAAUAGCAUCAGACUAUAUUUGCUAUGUUUGCUGUGGUUAUUUUGAUUUCAGUUACAUUUUUAUAUUUAGUUUUGUUAAUGUGAUUAAUUUAACCCUACACCCCACUCCCUUCCAAUUCCAGUUUUCCAAUUGCUGGAUAAAGUAUUUUUAUUCAUUUUCAAGCAAUUUUGGGGUUUUCUCACAAAAUACAAAUGGUAAACGUAAUACUGGGCUUGUCAAGUUUUGGGUGCAAAGUUUUAAUUUUCUAUCCUUCAAUUUUCUGGCCUAAAUUAAGUUUUUUACCUUGAUAGAUCCACCGACUUUCUUUGCGGACUCAAUAUUUGAAAGCAGUUUCUUGUCAACUUCAUAUCAGGAUUUUUAAAACAUAUUUUUCUCUCUUUGCACAACAGAUGUUCAGAUUUUAAGGCAGAGCCAUGUAGCUGACUGAAAAAUAUUAUUUGAGAAGGGAGAAUUCAGCAAGCUUACCAAAUAAAAUAUAAUUCAGGAUGAAUAAAUACCCAAGAUUGGUUACAUUUACAUAACCUAGUAAGCAAAAGGGUGUUGGUUAGAUCCUCAGAAAGGUUAGUAGAUUUUUGAUGGCUAAAAACCGGACCCAACUGUCCUUAAUCUUCCUGUAUAAUAAAGCAGAUGGUCUUGGCCACUAUAAGAGCUUUUAUUUUUCAAUUAUCUGUCACAUGUAGCCGAAAUAUCCGAUCUGGUGAGUUACUGAGGGCCGGAUUUGUGAGAUAUUUUCAAAGUAGGUAUUUAUUUUCUUAUGUAAGGUAGCUGAACUAUCUCUUUUUCCAAAGGGAUAAAGUUAAACAUCUUAUAUAAUAUUUCUCUUGUGUCUUAACUGGAAACCCAAAUGACAAUCCUUAGUUAAAUAAAUAAACUUUAAAAAUGUAUACAUUAUCAUCAAACAGCAAUUCACCCUUCAAUUCCUCUUCUCCCGAGUUUGUUUUGAUUUGCGUUCACACCUGAUUGCAUGGCUUGUGUUGUUAGGUUCUGUGUCAGGGGAGCAGCUAAACCGCAAGAAGCCACGGUUGAACGAUGUCGAUCGUUUGCUGAUUGCAGACAAGGACCCAUUACGUGCAAGCCCUCGAUUGUCCCCGGGGCCCACUGUCA